rnacentral:misc_RNA from 1 species
AAGUCGUAACAAGGUCUCCGUUGGUGAACCAGCGGAGGGAUCAUUACCGAGUUAUUACUCCAAACCCUUUGUGAACCUUACCAUUUUGUUGCUCGGCGCACCGCGGGCCGCGGCUUCGGCCCGUCCCGCAGCGCGCCAGAGGACCCAACUCUUCAAUUUAUAGCGUACCUUCUGAUUUACAAAACAAACAAGUUAAAACUUUCAACAACGGAUCUCUUGGUUCUG